rnacentral:rRNA from 1 species
GGUGCUCGAGUGGCGAACGGGUGAGUAACACGUGAGUAACCUGCCCUUGACUUUGGGAUAACUUCAGGAAACUGGGGCUAAUACCGGAUAGGAGCUCCUGCUGCACGGUGGGGGUUGGAAAGUUUCGGCGGUUGGGGAUGGACUCGCGGCUUAUCAGCUUGUUGGUGGGGUAGUGGCUUACCAAGGCUUUGACGGGUAGCCGGCCUGAGAGGGUGACCGGCCACAUUGGGACUGAGAUACGGCCCAG